rnacentral:rRNA from 1 species
GACGAACGCUGGCGGCGUGCCUAAUACAUGCAAGUCGAACGCAGUGGGGACGGGUGAGUAACACGUGGGUAACCUCCCAUCAGAGGGGAUAACACUUGGAAACAGGUGCUAAACCGAUACUGAUGGAUGGUACCGCGGUGCAUUAGCUAGUUGGUGAGGUAACGGCUCACCAAGGCUACGAUGCAUAUCCUACCUGAGAGGGUGAUCGGCCCCACUGUGACUGAGACACGGCCCAGACUCCUACGGGAUGCAGCAUUAGGGCAUCUUCGGCAAUGGACGGAAUUCUGACCGAUUAACGCCGCGUGCGUGAAGAAGGUUUUCGGAUCGUAAAACUCUGUUGUUAGAGAUGCGGUAUCUAACCAGAAGGCGACGGCUAAAUACGUGCCAGCCGCCGCGGUAAUUC